GAUGAACGCUGGCGGCGUGCCUAAUACAUGCAAGUCGAGCGAACGGACGAUAAGCUUGCUUCUCUGAUGUUAGCGGCGGACGGGUGAGUAACACGUGUAUAACCUACCUAUAAUACUGGUAUAACUUCGGGAAUCCGGAGCUAAUACCGUAUGAUAUUUUGAACCGCAUGGUUCAAAAGUGAAAGUCGGUCUUUCUGUCACUUAUAGAUGGAUCCGCGCUGCAUUAGCUAGUUGGUAAGGUAACGGCUUACCAAGGCAACGAUGCAUAGCCGACCUGAGAGGGGGAUCGGCCACACGGGAACUGAGACACGGACCAGACUACUACGGGAGGCAGCAGUAGGGAAUCGUACGCAAAGGGCGAAAGCAUGACGGAGCAAAGCCGAGUGAGAGAUGAAGGUCUUGGGAUCGGAAAAAUCUGUUAUUAGGGAAGAACAUAUGUGUAAGUAAAUGUGGACAUAGUGACGGUAACUAAUAAGAAAGCAACGGCUAACUACGUG
rnacentral:rRNA from 1 species